UACGGAAGGCAGCAGUGGGGAAUAUUGCACAAUGGGCGCAAGCCUGAUGCAGCCAUGCCGCGUGUAUGAAAAAGGCCUUCGGGUUGUAAAGUACUUUCAGUCGUGAGGAAGGUGUUAAGGUUAAUAACCUUAGCAAUUGACGUUAGCGACAGAAGAAGCACCGGCUAACUCCGUGCCAGCAGCCGCGGUAAUACGGAGGGUGCGAGCGUUAAUCGGAAUUACUGGGCGUAAAGGGCACGCAGGCGGUUAAUUAAGUUGGAUGUGAAAUCCCCGGGCUUAACCUGGGAAUGGCAUUCAAGACUGGUUAGCUAGAGUCUUGUAGAGGGGGUAGAAUUCCAUGUGUAGCGGUGAAAUGCGUAGAGAUGUGGAGGAAUACCGGUGGCGAAGGCGGCCCCUGGACAAAGACUGACGCUCAUGUGCGAAAGCGUGGGGAGCAAACGAGGGAUUAGACUACC
rnacentral:rRNA from 1 species